GGAAAAGCACCUUAGGUGGGGAAAAAGGAUUUUUUUUCAGGACUGCUGCUGUGAUUGGGUCCUCAGCACCGUGGAGGUGUGAUCUGAUUGGCUGCUUGCUUUCAUGAAUCGGAAUACAAUUCACGUUAUUCCAUAUCCGAUUGGAAUGAAUGCAAAUGCCAUUAACCUAUCCCAACCGCCCCCCCCUCC